UCUUAAGAAAAUGUAGUUCAGCUAUUAGAUAAUCUUUAAAAUUUCAUUUCUGAAGUUGAACAUUAACCAGAUAUAACCUAGGUUACCAUCUCAAUUGCAGUUUGAUUUCCUGUAUGUCUCUAAAAUUCAGCUAAGGGAGCCCGAUUGUUGGCUUCAUUUGUUUUUUUUUUUUUUUUUUAACUAUGGGAUUUUAAUAAUCUGUUGUCUGUGAUGCCUUACUGCAAGAGUUAUAUUCGUUUGUUCGUUUGCUUUAAUGUCAUCAGGUAAACCGAGAGGCACAUAAAAGCAGUUCCGGGCCGGGCGCAGUGGCUCACGCCUGAAAUCCCAGCACUUUGGGAGGCCGAGGCGGGUGGAUCACGAGGUCAACAGAUCGAGACCAUCCUGGUCAACGUGAUGAAACCCCGUCUCUAUUAAAAAUACAAAAAAUUAGCUGGGCAUGGUUGUGUGUGCCUGUAAUCCCAGCUACUCAGGAGGCUGAGGCAGGAGAAUGGCCUGAACCCGGGAAGCGGAGGUUGCGGUGAGCCGAGAUGGCGCCAUUGCACUCCAGCCUGGGCAACAAGAGCGAAACUCCGUCUCAAAAAAAAAAAAAGCAGUUCCUAUCGGGCUACUGAGAAACAACCUAUGCUGGCAGUUUGUUGGGUUGUUGAUCUGGUGCAUCUGACAUGUGUAAAAUGACAGCAGGAUCACUCAGGAAAUUCGAUAUACCCACACACAGAAGCCAAAUACGCCAGCUUAUUUUGGGAACCACUCUAUCAUGAAGAUGCAUUUGUUCUUGGAGCAGCCUCAGAAAGCCUCCUCUUUAUCCAACUGUCUCUUGAUUAAAGAAGCAGCUGAUAAUGAAAGAUGGCUCCUGGAAAGCUGGGUACAGUCAUCUGAUAAAUUACAAAUAGUAAAUCUUUAUAAUAAAAUAUAUGGCAUUUUUAUUGUAUGAACAAUGUGCUUCCGAAGCAGGAGAUUCAGCAAGCAUUUCACAAAACUCACAGAAAAAUAUAAUCAUCAACAUCCUGCAAGGACAAGCAGUACUUCACUAAUUGAGAUGUAUCAGGCUGGAGUGCAAUGGCGCAAUCUCAGCUCACCGCAACCUCAGAGGCAGGAGAAGCCUAAUGAUCACAGUGUAUCUAUCCUUCUGGGAACUAGAGAAGUGGCUAUGAUUCCCUCUUCCUUUCAUCUCACUGCCUCACAUCUUUUCAAGAACAGAUAGUAAUAUUACCUCAAACUUCACCUGUUUUUGCGGUCACUUUCUGUUGACUGCAAAGGACAUGGCAACUUAAUUCAACAACUAAUUCAACGGUUGGCUUCUCUUAAGACUCAUAUUAAUUAAAAGGAUAUCAUUUAUAUAACAAGACUGGCUGGUGUUUUUCUGUGUGGUAGAUUAAAGAAAAUAUAUUUUUAGAAAAAAUAUUUUAGUUGAAUUCUUUUAAUAUUUAAAAUGUACAUGAUAAACUUCAAAGUCUUUUUAAAAUUUUUAUGUCAAUUGAAAAAAGCUUUCCAGGGAUCCCUUGUGCAGGCAUAUCUUUGGAUGUACCCUGAAGAAGUGGAAUGAAGAUUUAAAUUUGUCAUGCUGCUUAUGAGUGGCAGAGUUAAAUUUCUGUCACAGUAUCUGUGUUUGAAUAACUAAAUCAUGCUACUUUUCUUAGAAUGUUCUGGAAUUUACACAUACAGAGCAAUAAAAAUCACAAGGGUAAUGUGUACAGCAACUCUUUUCAUACUUUUUAUCUUAACGUUUCAAAACAAUCCUGCUGAGAUUGUUACUAAAGAGAAAACUGAGGUUCAAAGAGAUUGAAUAGGUACCAUUGCUGGGUGGAAUCCCAGUGUUCUGAUUUCAAACCAUGGUUCUUUCUCUCCAUCAGCAUGCAUGGCAUAUAUGGUCAUUCUGAAAGUCAUCAGAUGGAGAAGGUAGAAGUGAAACCCUCAGUGGUCUAUUCUUACAUAUUAAUCACUUCUCAAGGAAAAUCCACGAAGACAGUUUUCUUUUGUUAAAGUAUCAUCUUACUACUUCAGUGUUCUGUAAUGAGGACUGGAGCUGCUCUAAGUGGAUCAGUCCCCAUCUUCUUCCUGAGAUGUAGAUUCUUCGAAGUUUGCAUUGAAGACAGUCUUUUGUUCCUCUGAACUUGUGAAAAGUAGAUUAAUUUCUUGACUCCUCCAUAGGAGACAUCAUAAGUGUUAUUUAUUUAUUUUUUUUGAAUUGCCAAGGCUAA
rnacentral:lncRNA from 1 species